AGUACAUCGCUUACUUAAAAAUCGGUAUGUUCCUAUAGAAACACGUUAACCCAUUAUUUUCUAAAUCUGACAAAAUGAUGAGAAACGGCUGGCAUUCCCCAGAGACCUUGAAAUCAUUGUCUCAAGUGGUCAACCCUGUUUCUUCCAAGAGCCACGAUAAACUGGUACAACGAACAAGUCUAUCAAAAUCAUCGCCCCAAGUUAGGAGAAAUUAGGAAUAUUUUACACUGGCCAUAAUCGCAUAAUUCUGAUGCCGACUACUGCAGGCUAGUGGGAGGACUAGGAUGUUGUCGAGUUGUUGUCGCAGGCCCGCCGAAAUCGAAUUUUGUGAGGUUUACAGACUCCUUUAUAAAAGCCAAUAUGAAACAGUGACAGUUAUGAAAACAAAAAUUGUGCAAACAGAAUUGUUAUUACAUUAGAAGUUUUGAUCAAGUUCAGAAAAAUACAGGCUGUUAAAAUUAUACUUACAAAAGCAUUUUGAAGUGGCUAUCGUUAGCGACUUGAUCGAAACUCGCGUCGCAGUGGCCGAAAAUGUCUCGUGAGUUGAACAUAUCUCAAUAUUCAUUUCGGCAAAUAUAGAAAAAUGAGCCAUUGAAAUUCCAAAAAGUACAAGAACUUACACCGCAACAGAAAGAAAAUAGACUCAAAAGAGCUAAAGAGUUGCUUCGAACUUUCGCUUACAUUUUGUCGCCCUAUCAUUCAAAUCCUAAACAAAUGAACAUGUGUGAGUAAUAUCUUGUAUAUUAUAUUGUAUACAUUUUGCAGAAUCAACACAAUUGCUCGGCCUUCAAGAGAAACAA